GAUGAACGCUGGCGGCGUGCUUAACACAUGCAAGUCGAGCGAAGCACUUUUGAUGAUCCUUCGGGUGAUUCAUUUGUGACUGAGCGGCGGACGGGUGAGUAACGCGUGAGUAACCUGCCUCAUACAGGGGAAUAACAGUUAGAAAUGACUGCUAAUGCCGCAUAAGCGCACAGGACCACAUGGUCUGGUGUGAAAAACUCCGGUGGUAUGAGAUGGACUCGCGUCUGAUUAGCUGGUUGGUGAGGUAACGGCCCACCAAGGCGACGAUCAGUAGCCGGCCUGAGAGGGUGAACGGCCACAUUGGGACUGAGACACGGCCCAAACUCCUACGGGAGGCAGCAGUGGGGAAUAUUGCACAAUGGGGGAAACCCUGAUGCAGCGACGCCGCGUGAGUGAAGAAGUAUUUCGGUAUGUAAAGCUCUAUCAGCAGGGAAGAAAAUGACGGUACCUGACUAAGAAGCC
rnacentral:rRNA from 1 species